rnacentral:snRNA from 1 species
AGCUUUGUGCAGUGGCAGUAUCGUAGCUAAUGAGGUGUAUCCGAGGCGUGAUUAUUGCUAACUGAAACAAAUUGUAAUAUUCUAUGUAUGACUAGACUACAGUUUAUAAAUCUGUUUAUCAAUACCUGGAUGUUUUGAGUUUCAACUUUUGAGCUAUUGUGACUAAU